GAACAUACACUGUGAUGGCUGUAAACAGAAGGUGAAAAAGAAAUUGCAGAAGAUUGAAGGUGUUUACACAGUGAAGAUAGAUUCAGACCAAAGCAAAGUAACAGUGACAGGAAAUGUUGAUCCAGCAACGCUGAUAAAGAAGCUAGUGAAAUCAGGGAAACAUGCAGAGCUAUGGGGAGGAGGACAAAAGGGAGGUUCUAAUUUCAAUAUGAUGAACAAUCAGUUCAUGAACAUGCAAAUGGACAACUUUAAAGGUGGAAAAGACAACAAAUCUCAAAAGGGUGGUGGUGGUGGUGGAAAUAAGGAGCCGCCAAAGGGGAAUGCGCAACAGUUUCUUCAGAUGAUGCAGAAUCUCAAAGGGUCGAAGGAUAAUUUCAAGAUGCCUAAUAUUCCAAAUCCCAAGGAUCAAAAAUCUGUGAAGUUCAAUCUGCCUGAGGAUGAAUUUGAUGAUGAAUCUGACGACUUCGAUGAUGAAUCUGAUGAUUAUGAUGAUGAAUCUGAUGAAGAAUUUGGUGCCCCUCCACCUUCUAAAAUGAUGGGGGGUGGAUCUCAUGGGCUUAAUGCUAUGAUGAUGAAAGGUGGGCCUAUGGGUAAUAAUGGUGGAAAUGGCAAGAAAGGUGGAGUUGAAAUCCCAGUACAAAUGAAGGGUAUGGCUGGAAAUCAUCAUGGUGGCGGCAAAAACAAUAAUAAUGGAGGAGGAAAACAGGGGAAAGGAGGGAACCAGAAUCAGAAUGUUGGUAAAAAUGGUGGUAAAGGUAACAAUAAUGGAAGUUUUGGUGGUGCAGCAGUACCUCAGAAAGGAGGAGGGGGAGGGAAGAUGGAUGGAGGUCUAAUGAUGAACAGUCUGCAACAAGGAGGGCCACAUGGUAUGAUGAGUAUGGGUCAAAAAAGUGGAGGAGGUCCAAUGACCAUGGGCCCAAUGGGUCAUAUGUCGGCAGCUCAAGGACUACCCGCCGGUGGUCCUGGCGGUUACCCGGGGAUGGGUCAAGGAGGCAACAACCCUUAUAGCCAACAACAACAACAGUAUAUGGCACAAAUGAUGAUGAACCAACAGCGGCCUGCCGGAUAUGACAUGUACGGAGCCCAUCCAAACAUGUACGGUGCCCAUCCGAUGAUGUACGCCCGGCAACAUCCAUCCGUGAGUUACGGGCCACCGCCACCUAUGGGUGCUCCGGUGCAUGAUAAUUUUACUCAUAUGUUCAGCGAUGAGAAUACAGGCAGCUGUAGUAUUAUGUAAAUUGUUCUUUUUUUUUUUUUGAUAUAAAACGUGUGUACUUUGUCUUGGUCUUUAGCUUAUUAUGAACUAAUGAGAGACGACGCUUUUGUCUUCAGAAAAGCAAA
rnacentral:misc_RNA from 1 species